rnacentral:rRNA from 1 species
GACAGAGGUGCCAAGCGUUAGGCGGAAUCACUGGGCUUAAAGCGUGUGUAGGCGGAUGUCUAAGUGCCUUGUGAAAUCCCACGGCUCAACCGUGGAACUGCUUGGCAUACUGGACGUCUUGAGCCAUCCAGGGGUCGCUGGAACAAACGGUGGAGCGGUGAAAUGCGUAGAUAUCGUUUGGAACGCCAAAGGUGAAGACAGGCGACUGGGGAUGUGCUGACGCUGAGACACGAAAGCCAGGGGAGCAAACGGG